rnacentral:rRNA from 1 species
UACGGGGGGGGGCAAGCGUUGUUCGGAAUUACUGGGCGUAAAGGGCUCGUAGGCGGCCCACUAAGUCCGACGUGAAAUCCCCAGGCUUAACUUGGGAACUGCGUCGGAUACUGGUGGGCUUGAAUCCGGGAGAGGGAUGCGGAAUUCCAGGUGUAGCGGUGAAAUGCGUAGAUAUCUGGAGGAACACCGGUGGCGAAGGCGGCAUCCUGGACCGGUAUUGACGCUGAGUGAGCGAAAGCCAGGGGGAGCAAAACGGG